rnacentral:lncRNA from 10 species
CUUUUUAAAUUCUCGGCAUAGUGUAAUGAUUACUAUUCCAAAACAGAAGAUAUGUUGGCAAACUGCCCUGUAUUUGAAAAUAGAGGAAAUGCCCUGGAAAGAAUGAGAUGUGGUAAAGAGAGGAAAUGACAAUGUACUGAAAAGACUGGGCUGUAAGUCAUCACAGCGGCGCCCUGAAACCCGAUAUGUCAGGCAAGCUGGUGGGAUCCUGGGAUCCCUCAUGUAACGGCACUCAUUCUGACAGAAGCAGAGAUAAAACAGACUAAGUACACAGAGGAGUUUAAGGUUUCGUGAAUGUAAGUGCUGAGUACAGAAUGGUGCUCAAUAAAAGCUUGUUAAUUGAUGGACCACAGGUUUGUGACAAGACUUCUCAGAGUCUGAUUCUUUCAAGGUGGGAUAUAAGAGUAAGCAUACCCACAACAGCCUGAUCUGCAAAUCAACAGUGUAAAGAGCUCAAAUCCAGAGGCUGAAGGCUUAUUGUGUUGACUUUCUCAUCCUAGAGGUCACUGAAUGCAGAACUUGGGAACUUCUGGACUUCCUAUGCAACAGCUUGCUUAAACCUGGAAGGGACCCCUGGCUGGGAAUAGUCACAUUUAUCAAAUGGUUAAUAGAUCUUCUACUGGGUUAAAAGCUUUACAUUCGAAAUCAUCCUAUCUUCACAAAAAAAUCUCUCUGAAGUAGUUAUUGGCACCUCUGCUGUGUUAGUAAGGAAACGAAGUUCAGCAGAAGAUACGAUUUUACUCAAGAUGACACAGCUGUAAAUGGCAUGGGGAAAAUCUGAUUGCCACAGACAGAAGAAUGAAACUGGAUGCCUAUUUCUCACAAUACACAAAAGCGAUUCAAGAUUAAAGACUUAACUAUACCUUGACUAUGAAUAAUAGUUUCAAUAAGGAAGACAGAAUGAGUUCUGACACGAUGGUUGGGAGCUGUGACAGGCAGACGAAAAAUGGAGCCAAAUGGCAUGGAGGUGUGUCAUCACUGCUGGAUUUUACCUUGAUCUACAUUCAGUUAUCUACUUCUUUUCAAAAUGCUGGGCAUUCAUUCAAGAAACAGCAUAUAUGUUCUGACUUUGAAGUAAUGGAUGAACUGUCAUGUGCAGUAUAUGGAAAUAAGUUUUAUUACCUUCUUCCCACAUUAACUCAUCCAUCCAUUCAAUAGCCAUUUAUUGAGAAGCUCACUCUGUGUUAGGCACAGUGGUGUCAUGAUGUUGGAACAGUAACAAUAACUCAACCAACCAGGGCUUGUCUGAAUACAAUCCUACAGCAGCAGGAGCUGUGGAGAUAUAGAAGGCAAGGAAGACCAGGUUGUGAGGGAAGACGAAUUUACUCCCAGGAAUGUUGGGAUUGAGAGUAAUAUUCUCCAAUAAUGGUGGAAGACAGAACAAUAAAAGCCCACCAGCUCCUUCUGCAUGGUGGGAUAAGAGAAAAGCCAAGGGCAGAAGUGAGAAAAAUAACCAUCACCAAACUGAAAAGAAAACCUUUAUAAAAAAACUGGAUUGAUAAAUGACCUUUAGUAGUGGAAAGAUACCAUUCCAAUGAAGCAUGAAUUGAAAGGAUUUCUUCUGAAAGCUAAUUUACAUUUUUCUUUUUUUUUUUUUCAUUUUCAGUGUGUUUUAGCAGGUGUAUUGUUCUACAUGGUUAGUUUCUUUACCUCUUUGAGAAAAAUGGGUCAGCUUGACACAUCUGGAUGAAAGAAUCCGUUAGGUGAUUAUGAUUGAAGACAGAUUAAGCCUUGUUAUGAGGGGAAUAUUUGGGGGCUUACCCUGAGGUGAUAUUUGAUGAUUUAGCUGUGGGAGAAUUUCCCUCCCAAGAUCAGCGUGACUGACACUGAAAUUGCUACAGGGGAACCGGACCUUUCCAAGAGGUGACAAGGACAUUUACCUGGUACAACACAAUGGUUCUGGACUGGAAGUCUAGUCCCAUUGAUGAAGUUCCCAAAAGAUGUCCAGGUCCUAAUCCCUGGAAUCUGUGAAUAUGUCAUCUUACACAUCAAAAGAACUUUGAAAAUGUGAUUGAGGUUAAGGACCUUGGAAUGAGGAGAUUACCUUGGAUUAUCUGGUUGGGUCCAAGCUAAUCACAUGAGUCCUUAAAGGAGAAGAACCUUUUUUAGCUGGGUCAGAGAGAGAUGUGAUGAUGAAAACAGGCUCAGGGAGAUGCACUGUAAGAAGGGCUUGACCAGUUGUUUUUGACUUUGAAGAUGGAGGGAAGGGCCAGGAGCCAAGGAAGGUGGGUGGCUUUUGGAAGGUGGAAAAAGCAAGGGAACAUUCUCUCCAGAGCCUCCAGAAAGGAGCUCAGCCCUGUUGACAUCUUUGUUUUUAUUUUUUAUUUUUAGUAGCAUUGAGGUCUCACUAUGUUGCACAGGCUGGUCUUGAACUCUUGAGCUCAAGCACUCCUCCCGCCUUGGCUUCCCAAAGUGCUGGGAUUAUAGGCAUGUGCCACCACAUCUGGCUUCCUACUGACAUCUUAACUUUAGUGCAGUGAGACUCAUAUUUGAAUUUCUGACCUUAUAUUAUAGAACCAUAAGACAUUAUAGAAUUAUAUAGAAUUAUAGAACCAUAAGACAAUAACUUUGUGUUGUUUUAAGAUACUAAAUUUUUGGUAAUUUGUUAUGGCAGCACAAUAAAACCAAUAUAGCAUUAUAUUAUGCCAAUAUCAUCUCUUUGUUGACUAUUGCUAUUAUAGUUUGUUUUAUGGGUCUUGUGUAAACAAUCAAGCUAUAAUAUUGGGUUAACUCCCUAAGGAAAACUUGGAAUAUAGAACAUUAUUUUAAAGACUGAAUUAGGUAAAUACACCUGCCAGUGAAUACAUUAACAAAUUAAUUAAUAUAUUCACUCUUUUCACUCACAAAUACUUUUUGAGCCCCUAUUACUAGCCAAACAUUUUGUUAGAUUCUGAGAAGGGUCUGCUAGACAACAUUGUGACUAUAGUUAAUAACAAUAUAUUGUACUCUUGAAAAUUACUAAGAGAGUAGAUUUUAAGUGUUCUCACCACAAAAAAUAAGUAUGUGAGGUAAUGCAGAUGUUAGUUAGCUUGAUUUAGCCAUUCCCCAGUGUAUACAUAUUUCAAACCUUCAUAUUAUACAUGGAUAAAUAUAUACAAUUUUUAUUUGUCAAUUAAAAGCCCCUCGAUGAAUACAGUUUCCAUUCUGUCCUUGAGGUGGAGCUUGUAGACUUGGUGGGGUCCGGGGAUCAACUUUUAAACAGGCAGUUCCAAAGUGUGGAGUGGAUAGGCUUAUUCUCUUUGUUGCUUUUAUGAUAGGUAUUUAGAAUGCACUUUCCUCUGUUAAGUUAAGCCAGCCACCAUUCCCUCAUUCAGUUUCCAUCCUCCAUGAAUUUGCUCACAUCUGCGGUCUACUGUCACUCAUUCUUUCCUUCUCUUCCUGAGGGCUUGUGUGACUUAUGUUCUUGGCUUUCUCUUAGGAACAUGGUGCAGCUUGGCCCUGCAUUAUCCAUCUGGAAAAACAGAUCAUAAAACAGUCCUUCUCUGUACUAAGUGCUAAAGUAGGAGGAAGGGCAUAAGUCAGCUCCCUGAGCUAUAUAUCCUUGUUUUCAGGAGCUGAGCUAGACACAAGCAGAACUUGCAAAUAAUUUACAUUUCUUUCUGCUGAGGUGGUUCAGAAUAAGUUGCAACAAACAUGAACAGGAAUGGUGCAGUAAAU